rnacentral:rRNA from 1 species
GACGAACGCUGGCGGCGUGCUUAACACAUGCAAGUCGAGCGGUAAGGCCCUUUCGGGGGUACACGAGCGGCGAACGGGUGAGUAACACGUGGGCGACCUACCCUCAGCUUCGGGAUAAGCCUGGGAAACUGGGUCUAAUACCGGAUAUGACCUUCCCUCGCAUGGGGGUUGGUGGAAAGUUUUUUCGGUCGUGGGAGUGGCCCGCGGCCUAUCAGCUUGUUGGUGGGGUGGAUGGCCUACCAAGGCGACGACGGGAGCCGGCCUGAGAGGGCGACCGGCCACACUGGGACUGAGAUACGGCCCANACUCCUACGGGAGGCAGCAGUGGGGAAUAUUGCGCAAUGGGCGGAAGCCUGACGCAGCGACGCCGCGU